rnacentral:tRNA from 1 species
UCCCCAGUAGCUCAAUGGUGGAGCAACCGGCUGUUAACCGGUAGGUUGUAGGUUCGAGCCCUACCUGGGGAGCUA